GGAAAUUGAGUUAAUAGGUGUUAAAUAAAUAUCUUAGUUGCUUCUGAUGUGGCUGAGGAGCACUUUCAAGUGUUUAAAAAACUGGUUUCUGUAUAUCAUUGUAUAGCUAAUUGCAAUUCUUAUGAAACCUUCUCAUAGGCUGUUUCUGGUUUUAUUGGGAUUUUUUUCAGCUGCAUUGUGAAUUGGAUGAAGGACAUUUUCCCUUCUUAUAAAUGGUUUUGUGGAAUUUUGAGAUUUGGGUUUUUAUUCACAUUUGAAGGGAAUAAAUCAACCAGCCUUAAGAACAUGACAUCUUUCUGAUGGAUAGAAGCAAUUCAAGGAAGAAUAAGGAUGAUGUCUUUUAGAAAUGCUAUAGGAAUAUUUGUUUGGGGGGUCAAUAAAUAACAUGCUUAGAGUUUAAUAAAUAUUUUGUUAUGUCAUCGUAGUUUCUACAUUUUUGUAUUCUAGUAGAAUUUUAUCUAGUUUUAAUAUUUGUUUUUGAGCAGACAUCUUUAUCUUGAGAGAUAUCAUUUAGUGUUACUUUUCAAAAUUUGCAGCUGUGUAAAUCCAGAUGCUUGGUGAAGCUGCUCUAGUGUGAGGAAAGCCUCUCCUGUUAGGCCAGGAGCCUGUAAGGCACCAUCAGCACAUAUGAAACCUGCUACGUAUUAUAAGCAACAGGAAAUAGCACAGAAGCUGCAAGUGCAUUUAGGUCAUUUGGAAGUUGAAUUCUUGUCAUAUCUUUACUUUGCUUAACAUAUCUUCUCCCCUUUAGUUCUUUCUUAUAGUAAUUUGAAGCUGAUGAAUUUACUGGUAUUUUCAGGAGAGCAUAUACAAUUAAAAUAUUUUUCAAUUCAGUAUCAGUUCAAAGAACUUAGCAUCACCUGCCUCUCACCUUUGGUGGGAAGGUAAUGAGCAGCCACUUAGCUCUGUGUGCACAAGGAUGAUGGUCCUGAGUCUCCUGGGAUGGCUAGCUAAAUCUGGAAGUUCCUUAGGAGAUGGAAAGACAUCAGCUCCUCAUGUUCCAUUCAACAGUGAGCACAGGGCGCUCAGUGAACAUGCAUUCGGUUUGUGAGUGUUCCCUGCAGGGACUGGUCUCCUAUUCCCUUUCCAGACCUCAAAGCUGAAUUGUCUGUCUUUCUCUCUGCUCCAGUAGCCUCAGCUAUUGAGUACUAUUGCCUCUGAGAUGCUUCUUUGUUCAUACUACUGGGAUCUUGCCUCCAAAGUUUAGUUGGAAGAAUAGGAGGAAACUGUUGCUUUAAACUGCACACAAAACAAAAGCAAGUGGCUUUGCCUUUCCCUAAAGACAUGGAGAUAGAGAAGUCCGUUUCCGUGGUCGUGGCCAUGCUAUGGAAGAAAUUCUUGGCCAUUCCACACCAUCCUUGCUUCUUAUAUGUUUUGUGCAUCAGUGAAUUUUUUAGCCCUAGCAUUUUCACCUAUGGGAGGCGUGUAGAAACAGAGGCACAGAAAUGCCAGCUCCUUGCCAUUUCAUGGGGUCCUCAGGUCUCUGCCUGCUGCCCCACCAACUUUCCCCACAAACCUCUGGAAUUUCAGCAGUGCCCUCUGCUGUGGGCCUGUGGAGCCAGACUAAGUUAGACUUCCCGUGACUCAAACUUGGAAGUGAUACCCCAUGAGGCUUGUUGAUUUCUGUUUCUUAGAAACCAGAUGCUGAUGUGGAUCCACUGAGAGAGGAGGGAGCUACAGGCUUUGGGCACAGGAUGCUGUGGUGUUUGAAAUCCCCUGUAGUGUACCCCAUCAUACGAUCGGCAGAGACAUUGGGGCAAUUUGAUUUCGCACAGGAAUUAGAAUUCUAUGGCAAAGGGGAGGCUAUCUCUGAAAAUAACCCUCCAGUGGUGCAGAGUGGGGACCAUGGCCAAGAGAGGAGCUGACUUUCCCUCUGUCACUGUGGGACUCAGGUCAUGGUAAAGUUGGAUGUCAUCCUUUGUCCCUUAACUUCCUAUGUCAUGUUAUCUGUAUAUUUGUGCAUUAGAGACGCAUGACUCCUGGAUUAGGGUUUCUCAGGGAGUCCAUGUAUGUGUGGGCACAUGUCCCUGAUGACAACCUCUAAAGCAGAUGCUAGAAUGACCCCUGGGAACAUGUUGAGAAGCUAUGGAGGCCCUGCAAGGCACAAUGACUUCCUCAGGGCCACACACAUACCCACAAGAAGGGGAAGGGUCUCAACCAAGCUCUGUCUCCCCAAACCAAGGGAGCUGGCUACACCCGGGCCUGUCUGAGGGCCUGAUCCAGGGUGUGUUGGUGUAACUGGGUCCACCUGUGCCUAUGUCAUGGGAAGACUGCAGCCCAGUGGGCCAUUGGAACCAUCUUGUGUAAGAAAGGGACUCAGCAAAGGACUUCCUGAGACAGUGACCUCACUUCCUUGGCCAUGGAACUCACAGAACUUGGAACCCUGGUAGCUAGGCACUCACAGUCCACAAACAGUCCCGGUCUGCUCACUGGUGUUGAGACAGCAAGCCCAGAGCCAUGAGUUCUUGUUGUCUACAGAUCUGUGGGUGCUUAAGCCUCAGGGCUUUUCCUGAGUGUGGAGGUGCUGGGUCAGCGCUGUGUCCCAACGACUCUGGCAAUUUUUCCCAAGGAGACCAGAAGUGAGACAGGACAGGGCACCACAGGUGUCCAUAGUUUAACCCACAUUCAGAUUCCCCUUUCAAAAGUGCCAGAUCUCACCAGGUUAGUGUGUGUGUGUGUGUGUGUGUGUGUGUGUGUGUGUGUGUGAUGUCUCCUGAGAAUAUGGAGGGAAAAUAUUUUGAUUUCCCCUGACGUAUGGCAGUGAUUCCUUUUGCAAAUGGCUACCGUUUUCCUGUUGAAAUGUCCCUCUUUGAUUGCCCAUCCUAGGGAGAAGAUGACCAAGGCUCAUCAGUGGAUGUGUCCUGUCUUGUGGAAACCCUCACAGUACUUCUCUGGGAGCUCGAGGACGGCCUGGUGCCUGCCCUGCAGCAGGGGAACACCCCCUAUGUCCAUGGGGUUUUGUAUUUGUACCAGGAUUUGGCCAGUACCCAGAAGGCUCUGGAGCUGCUGGGUAAAAGGUAUGGACGCCUCCAGCCAUAUGUUGAGGAGGAGUACCUUCAAGACAAGAAAUCAUGACUCACCAGAGUAAUUAACUGGUCUAACAAUAUUGAAGUUAGACCAGUUAAUUACUCUGUAAUGGACUGAACAGUUGGAAUAAAAGGAAGAGUUCCAAGUUUUGCAUUCCAAAUAGAAAGCUGUGCCUUGGGCUGGGCUGUAGCUCAGUGGCAGAGUGCUUGCCUAGAAUGUAUGAGGCACUGAGUUCAAUCCUUAGCACUACAAAAAAAAAAAAAAACCAACUAAACAAAGAAAGGCAUGCUGUUGAUCUAAAACUAUUAAAAGAAGAAAGAAAGAAAGAAAGAAAGAAAAGAAAAAAAAAAAGCUGUGCCUCUUGAAUAAUUAGUCCCAAUGAGAAUGCAAGGGAAAUGUUCAUAAAGAAAAUUAAAGUGCUGCUCCAGGGCAUAGGUGAAUGAUAAGAAAGCAAAACAGCUGAUAGGGAUAAAGUUUUCAUAGUCUGGAGAACAGGUGAAACAAGCCACGUUCCCUUAAGCCAAAACCGCAUCCAGAUAAGGCCCAAACAUUAGAUUUUUCUGAUGCCAAGAGAAGGGAGAAAGCUCCAGAAGAAGUCUGAAGGUGGCAGAAUUUGGUUCAUGAUGUUCGAAGCAAGCGGCCCAUCUCCAUAUAAGACAAGUGCAGGGUGAAGCAGAAAUUGCUGAUGUAGAAGCUACAGCAAGUCAUGAAGAAGAUCUUGCUAAGCUAUCUGAUGAAGACGCGAUAUGGUUGAGUUUCUCGGUGUCCCCCAAAAGCUCAUGGGUGAGACAAUGCAAGAAGGUUUAGAGGGGAAAUGAUCCUGUUAUGAGAGCCUAAAGCCAAUUAGUGAAUUAAUCCCCUGGCAGGAUGAACAGGUGGCACAGAUAAAAUGGGGUGCCCACACCCUCCCCAAGCCUGGAGGUGUAGGCGCCACCUGUGGAGGAGUCCAGUUGCAGUGUGGAAGUGAACAGCAGCCACCCUCAACGUUCCACAUUAGGGUUCCACAUUGGAGGUUCCCAGCAACCAGCGGCAUCCCUCUGCGGGCAGGUCGUUCAUCAGGGAGCCUAGGCGCCCUAAGGCCCUUUGGGGAGUCCAGUUGAAUCGGUGGCUGCAUGGAAAUAGGCGUCCAAAUAGGAGCAUCCUCAUCCAUUGGCGGUGGCGGGAGUCUGCUUCCAGUGCAGUGGAGGUGUUGGCAGCAUUUCUGGUGGCCAGGUCGGGACUCCAGUGGCCACAGUGUGGAGCGCUGGCUGUGGCGACAGCGACAGCGUAGGGCAGCGGGCCUCAGAGUCAGAGGGCGACCAGAGGAUGGGGUGCCCUGUGCUGUGGCUGCCCCAGGCCACUUGUCUUGCUCCUGGCAGGGCCUGCCUGCUCAGGAAGCAGGACACGGCAGGCGGCGGUACCCACACAGCCCCUGAGGACCUUAUGCUGAGCACGCAGGCGGCGCCUGGCACCGGCACUGAGCCCCCCGGGUGGCAGCUCGCCCCACCCCGGGUUCGCCCUGCCCCUCCCUGGGUUGCGGCCUCUGCGGGGGAAGUAGGCCCGCUGCCAGCCGGGGCAGCCUUUAAAGAGGACACCCACCCUCCCCAGCGACAUCUCUCCUGGGCUGUGGCCACUGAGAGCAGAGGCAGUGGGGGGUGGGGCUACAAAUCCUCCCCCUCAAAGCGCAUCCCUGGGGCGGGACAAGAGUGGAGGGCAUAGAUGGCAGAGGGAACCCCAAGACGUGCCGUCCUUGGUCUUGGUCUUCUGCCACCCUUAGACAAAGAAAUGUACUUUAAAAAAAUUAAUUAGCUCUAAUUAGUUGUACAUAACAGCAGAAUUCACUUUGGUUCAUUGUACAGAAAUGGAGCACAGCUUUUCAUUUCUCUGGUAGAACACGAUGUAGAGUUGCACCAUAUGUGCAGUCCUGCAUGUACCUAGGGUAAUGAUAUCCCUCUCAUUCCACCCUCUUUCCUACCCCAUGCCCAUCCCUCCUAUCCUUCCCCUUUGCCCCAAGUUCCUCCAUUCUUCCCUUGCCCCCCUCAUUAUGGAUCAGCAUCCACUUAUCAGGGAGAACAUUCAGCCUGUUGUUUUUGAGGAUUAGCUUUUUUCACUUACAUAAUAUUCUCCAACUCCAUCCACUUACCUGCAAGUGUCAUAAUUUUAUUCUCUUUUAAAGCUAAGAUUCCAUUGUGCACAUAUACCUCAUUUUCUUUAUCGAUUUAGCUCUUGAAGGACUUCUAGGUUGGUUCCACAGUUUACCUACUGUGACUUGAGCUGCUAUAAACAUUGAUGUGGCUGCAUCACUCUAGUAUGCUGAUUUUAAGUCUUUUGGGUAUAGACUGAGGAGUGGAAUUUCUGGGUCAAAUGGAGGUUCCAUUCCACGUUUUUUGAGGAAGCUCCAUUCUGCUUUCCAGAGUGGUUGCACCAAUUUGCAAUGCCACUAGCAAUGUAUGAGUAUACCUUUCCCCCCACAUCCUCACCAACACUUAUUGUUGCUUGUAUUCUUGUUAACUGCCAUUCUGGCUGGAGUAAGAUGGUCUUAGAGUAGUUUUGAUUUGCAUUUCUCUAAUUUCUGGUGAAGUUGAACAUAUUUUCAUAUAUUUGUUGAUCGACUGUGUAUUUUCUUCUGUGAAGUGUCUGUCCAUUUCCUUAGCCCAUUUAUUGAUUGGGUUAUUUAUUCUUUGGGUGUUGAAGUUUUUGAGUUUUUUAUAUAUCCUGGAAAUUAGUGUUUUAUCUAAUGUGUGUGUAGUAAAGAUGUUCUCCCACUCUGUGAGCUCUCUUUUCAUAUUAUUGUUUCCUUUGCUGAGAAGAAGCUUUUAAGUUUGAAUCCAUCCCAUUAUUAAUUCUUGAUUUUAUUUCUUAAGUACAGGGUCUCUGGUCUAAUUCCUAGGUCCUUGAUCUACUUUGAGUGUUUGUGCAAGGUGAGAGAUCGUGGUUUAAUUUCAGUCUGCUACAUAUGGAUUUACAGUUUCCCCAGCACCAUUGUUGAAGAGGCUAUCGUUUAGCUAAUGUAUGUUUUCGGCACCUUUGGCAAGAAUGAGAUAACUACAUUUAUGUGGGUUUUUCUCUGUAUCUUCUAUUUUGGACCAUUGGUCUACAUGUGUAUUUUGGUGCCAAUAGCAUGCCGUUUUUGUUACUACAGAUCUGUAGUAUAGUUUAAGGUUUGAUAUUGUGAUGUGUCCUACUUCACUCUUCUUGCUAAGGAUUGCUUUGUCAAUAAGGAUUUCUCUGUGUCUAUUUUUCCAAAUGAAUUUCAUGAUUACUUUUUCUAUUUCUAUGAGGAAUGUUAUUGGGAUUUUAAUUGGAAUCACAUUAAAUCUGUAUAAGGUUUAUGAUAGUGUGGCCAUUUUGACAAUAUUAAUUCCAUGAGGGAGGAAUUGGAAUCAGGUACCUGCUCAAAAGGGGAGGGAUCCGAUAGCCAUGCCCACCUCAAAAUGGCAAGGAAUGCUUUCCAAGAUGUAGUCGGUGUGCUUCCAGAGCCGGGGUGUCUGGUGAUGUCAGGGGAACCGAUGGCCUUGUGCUGUGGGGAGGUAGCAGCUGAGUGACCUGCGUGGGAGUGGAGCGAGUCUCGGCGGUCUGCAGAUGUGUUGGUAGGUGGUUCUGCUAAGGCGCUGGCCAAGUCUUAAGUGAACUGCAACUUUGGCUUUGGGUCCUGCUCGGACACUGAGGCCCUGAGUCCUGCGCGAGGUCACAGCGCUGGUCAUUUCUGUAGAGAGAAGCUGUACAGGGGCCUCUAACACUCUCAAGAGAUGCAGAAUUCCUACUAGGAGAGAUCUGGAUCACAGAGCAACACAGAUGCUGCUUCCCUCUGGUCCGCCAUCUUUGAAAGUCUUUUCAAUUUCUUUCUUUAGUUUUCAUUGUAUAGGUCUUUCAUCUCUUUUGUUAAAUUUAUACCCAAAUAUUUCAUUUUUGAGGCUAUUGUGAAUGGGAUAGUUUUCCUAAUUUCUCUUUCAGAGGGUUCAUCACUAAUAGAUAGAAAUGCAUUUGAUUUAUGAAUAUUGAUUUCAUAUCCUGUGACAUUGCUGAAUUUGUUAAUAUUAGAAGUUUUCUGGUGGAGUUUUUUUUGGAUCCUCUAUGUGUAGAAUCAUGUCGUCAGCAAAUAGGGAUAGUUUGAGUUCUUCUUCCCCUAUUCCUAUCCCUUUAAUUUCUUUCAUCUACAGCUCUGUCGUGUAGUGUAAGCUGUAGUGGAGUUUAAACAGCAGUAUAGUUUAAACUCUGGCUAGAGUAUCAGGGACUAUGUAGAGUAGAAGGUGAGAGAGGGCAUCCUUGUCCUGUUCCAGUUCUGAGAGGAAAUGCUUCCCAUCAGAAAUGCACUUUGAGGAUGAAGAGGUCCUAGUUCCUCUGCUCUCUCCCCCCACAGCCCAGGUGGGAUGUCUCUUAGGAAGGUGGGGGUCCUCUCCCAAGGCUGCCCCACCUGGCAGAUGGCCUAGUUCCCCUGCAGAGGCCACAUCGGGGAUGGGGCGAGCAGCCACCCGGCGGGCUCAUGGCCAGUGCCAGGCGAGGCAGGUGUGGGCAGCCUAAGGUCCUCAGCAGCUGCCUGGGUAUUGCCACCCCCCUCGUGCUGCUUCCCGAACAGGCCGCUCAGCCAGGACCAAGACCCAGGGCCUGGAACGGCCACUGCAGAGGCCACUCCAGCCUCUCGUCGCCCUUCCACUCUGAGGCUCACUGCCCUGCGCCCUCGCUGCCGCCGCCAGCCUGGAGCUCUUCACUGUAGCCACCGGACUCCCCACAUGGUCGCCAGAUGCCACUGCAGCAGGAUUCCUGUUACCCCAGCAGGAUGAAGAUGCUCACCACUGGACGCCUCUGUGUCCUCAGCCCCGUUUCCAGACUCUACUGGUGCUGCCGCCACCGUGCAGCAACCAAACUCCCAAACCCCAGCUGGACUAUGAUGCUGCCCACCAAGGGCCCAACGUCAAUGCCCUUCACCCCCCGCCAUGAUGCCUGACUCCAGUGCCCCAUGCCGGCUCCCGGAUGAAGCUGCAUGUUGCUGCUGCCACCACCAGACUCCAUCAUGGACGCAAGACAGCGAUACUCAGCACUGGAUGCCCACUUCACCCACUGCAGCCUGCCGCAGUCUGGCUGGGCACAAAUGCCGCAGUCUGGCUGGGCACACAAUCACGAGCCACCACACAGCUUGUAGAUUCAAACAGCAACUCUUUAUUCCCGAACUCACACCAGCCGUCUACAAUCACGUUCUGGGGAAAUCCACGUUCUCUGCCCAAAUCCACGUUCUCUGCCCAAAUCCACCUCCACUGGGCUUCUAUCUCCAAAAUAUACUGUCUAAAUCCCGUGAGAACUCAAGGGGAACUCAGGCAGCAGGAUACGCCCUAUUCCCAGCAGGAAUAAUCUUAAACCUUAAACCUGGAACCUAAACUGGGAACGCCCUAAACACGAUUAUCUUAAAACCGGGAACACCCUAAUCUGCCUUGGUCCUUGAGCAAGGUCACGUACAUUCAAUGUCACUGCAACAUGGGGUACGCUGGCAAGGAAAUUGUCAUACCUACUUGGCUAAUGGCUCCCAGCAGCAGCCAGACUCCUGUGGCACUGCAAGACAGAAAUGAUCAUGGCAACAUCCCUCUGUUGUCACCACGGCAGCUUCUGGACUCUUCUGCUGCCACCGCCACUGUGAGUAUGCAGCAAGGGAUCUCCCAAACUGCAGCUGGAUGCCAACACCUCAGCUGUUGCCACCCCCACGCCAACUCUCAACUCCGGACCUCCCUCGCCUGAUGCCCGACGCCUGAAGCAGCUACAUGUUGCUGCUGCUGCCACCAGAUGCUACCACUCCAUGAGGCCUCUUCAGUGAUUCCAUCCCAAAGAUGCUGCUGUGCUGCCCAAGACCACAGAAGCUGGGAAGUUGGGUAGUCUCCAUCGCAGUCGCCUCAUCAGUGCCCACCGGUUGCUUCCUGCCUUUCCUCCCCCAGGACCACCCACCAGUCCUUCUGGGCCCUUGAGUAGGAGUUGUGCUGACUCAGGGAACUCAUCCAAGGAAAACAACUGACCAUCAGGAAGAAGGAAACAGCAGAGAAGCUUGAGGAUCAGAAGGACACUAGCCCUGCUCUGGUCACCCUGGAAGCUGGCUAGCCUGCACACACCAAAGCUUGAGGAAACAGCAGCCCUGCUUCAGCCACUUGAGGGCUGGCUGAUCAAUGCAAGGAGGAAAAUAAACUAAGCAACAGGACAAAUGGACUGUUUCGUCCUGUAAGAGGGCUCCCAUACUGUGGUGCAUUGCCACCCCUUACUUCUGUCAUAUGCACAGUCCUCUCCUUGGUCUUUACUACAGGACUGACAACCACCAAACACACAGCUAACCCAUAAUGGGGGGCGGGGCAAGGGAAGGUGGGAGGGACUUUGGAUUGGGCAGAGGGGAGUGUGGGAGGGGAGGGAUAUGGGAGUGGGAAGGAUGGUGGAAUGAGGUGGAUUGUAUUAAUCUAUGUACAUGUAUGAUUGCAGGAAUGGGGUGACUGUGCACUGUGUCUAACCAGAGAAAUGAAAAGUUGCCUCCAUUGGUGUUUAAUAGUCAAAAUGCAUUCUGCUGUUAUAUAUAACUAAUUGAAAAAAAUUCAUAAAGGACUAAGGCUUAAAAGGAAGUCUGGACACACCCCAGCCACAAAACUAAUUAACCCCUACAAACCCAACACAUAAAGAUCCAAAUCACAGCAGAGAGGAAUCAUCGCUGCCCUGGGAUGGGGAUCUCCCGAGGGCCCCGGCAGGUGAACCCGGCUCAUCCAUCCUUCCCCCAUUGCCUAGGUGUGUCCAGAGCUGCCCAGUCCACUGGGGCUGGGAGGAGGGUGCCACCUCCCCACUCAGGUACAUUGGAUGGUACCCGAUGGUCUCAGGUUUGGACCGCGUCUCUCCAUCUAAUGUCUUUUAAAAGUCUUUGACCUCCUCCUUCAUCCCUUCAAGCCUGUUCCCCUCUUCCCAUGGAUCCCUCCAUUCACUGAAUGCCUGAUGAGCCCUACAAGAAGGUGGGUGCAGGCUCCUCAUCUCAGGAAGCUCCCAGGGAGUCCCCCGUUCCCAGUUGCCUGAGGAUCUGUUGGGGCUCUCUGCCUGGGUUUUGGCUGACGGAGCGAGGAUAGCCGUGAUGUGCCCCUUCCAGAUCUGGAGCUCAAACCACAUGGUUUCACCCUCUCCUUUCCACUGCCAUGGCAACCACAGUGGCUUUGUGUGCAAGACGGAGUCACUACAAGCUGAAAAGGUCUGAACGUCCUGGUCCCACCUGGAGGAGAGCCACCUGACCCAUAUUGCACUGUGUGACUUGAGCAAGAAAGUAUCCUGGGAGCCGGGGACGUAGGCCAGGGGUAGAGAACAUCUGUGGGGCCCUUAUCUCAGUCUUCAAUGCUGGGGGGAAAAGGAGGGGGGACAAAGAACAAGAGGGCUGAGGAAAUAGCUCAGAUGUGGAGCCCUGCCUAGCAGCUCAAGGCCCUGGGUUUGGUCCCCAGCACUACAAGAAAGAAGAAAGAGGAGGAGGAGAAGGAGGAGGAGGGAGGAAGAAAGAAAAGAAGUUACCCUGCAUUGUGUUUAGCCACUGAAAAGCUGGGGAUGUUUGUUACAACAGCUGGGAUGCUUGUUACUUAUCCUAAUACAGGCAAAAGGAGCACCUUGACUUCUGUGGCUGGGUCACAGCGUCUGAGAGGGCUUCUUGCCAGGCAGUAUAUGACCACUGAGGCCUAAUACUAGCUGGGAGAUGGCAUGAAGUCAGAGAAGGGAAAAGAUACCCAAAGCCCAAAUGCCUGACAUUCAGUAGGUGUUCAGUAAAACUGGUGGCAUGAGCAAAAUACACGAGAACAUUAGAAGAGCUUUGUAAUGGUGGCCAAUGUUGCCGGAGGCCCAGAAGAUGAGCAGGGUUCGGGUGGGGUGGGAGUAGAGACAAUCAGCCUCAAUUAGCCUGGGAGUCCAUACCUACAAGUGAGAAAGGGCAGGCCCUGUCCAUGGGUCCGAGGAGAGUGAGCAGUCACUGGUGCCCUAGAGCAGUGGAGAUGAAGCUGGAACUUGGAGGCUCCCCAAGGCCAAGCUGAAUACUACAGUCUGAGGUCUAAAAAGUGUUUUCUUCUUCUUCUUUUUUUAAUAUUUAUUUUUUGGUUAGACACAACACCUUUAUUUUGUUUAUUUAUUUUUACAUGGUGUUGAGGAUCAAACCCAGGGCCUCGCGCACGCUAGGCGAGCGCUCUACUGCUGAACCACAACCCCAGCCCUAAAAAGUGUUUUCUUUGCAGUGACAGGGGUGGGCCCCAGGGCCUAACACAUGCUAGGCAAGUGCUCUACCAGUGAGCAGCACCCCAGCCUAAAUGACCUUAUGUUUGUCAAAAGUAGCAACGAUCACAGCCUUUGGAGUGGGCUCCAAAGGGGUGUGUGUGUGUGCGCGUAACAAUCUAUUGGGAUAUAUGUGUAAAUAAUAAAAUUCCUAUUGACAUUCUU